rnacentral:rRNA from 1 species
UACGUAGGUGGCAAGCGUUAUCCGGAUUUAUUAGGCGUAAAGGGAACGCAGGCGGUCUUUUAAGUCUGAUGUGAAAGCCUUCGGCUUAACCGGAGUAGUGCAUUGGAAACUGGGAGACUUGAGUGCAGAAGAGGAGAGUGGAACUCCAUGUGUAGCGGUGAAAUGCGUAGAUAUAUGGAAGAACACCAGUGGCGAAAGCGGCUCUCUGGUCUGUAACUGACGCUGAGGUUCGAAAGCGUGGGUAGCAAACAGG